GUUGAUAAGGUUAAGUGAAUAAGGGCGCACGGUGGAUGCCUUGGCACUAGGAGCCGAUGAAGGACGGGACUAACACCGAUAUGCUUUGGGGAGCUGUAAGUAAGCUAUGAUCCAGAGAUUUCCGAAUGGGGGAACCCAAUAUCUUUUAUAGGAUAUUACUUUUCAGUGAAUACAUAGCUGAUUAGAGGUAUACGCAGAGAACUGAAACAUCUUAGUACCUGCAGGAAGAGAAAGAAAAUUCGAUUCCCUGAGUAGCGGCGAGCGAAACGGGAAGAGCCCAAACCAACAAGCUUGCUUGUUGGGGUUGUAGGACUCCAAUAUGGUAGUCUGUUAGUAUAGUUGAAGGAUUUGGAAAAUUCCGCUAAAGAGGGUGAAAGCCCCGUAGACGAAAUGCUGACAACACCUAGGAGGAUCCUGAGUACGGCGGAACACGAGAAAUUCCGUCGGAAUCCGCGGGGACCAUCCCGCAAGGCUAAAUACUCCCUAGUGACCGAUAGUGAACCAGUACCGUGAGGGAAAGGUGAAAAGCACCCCGGAAGGGGAGUGAAAUAGAUCCUGAAACCGUGUGCCUACAACAAGUCAAAGCUCGUUAAUGAGUGAUGGCGUGCCUUUUGUAGAAUGAACCGGCGAGUUACGAUUGCAUGCGAGGUUAAGUCGAAGAGACGGAGCCGCAGCGAAAGCGAGUCUGAAUAGGGCGAAUGAGUAUGUAGUCGUAGACCCGAAACCAUGUGAUCUACCCAUGUCCAGGUUGAAGGUGCGGUAAAACGCACUGGAGGACCGAACCCACGUACGUUGAAAAGUGCGGGGAUGAGGUGUGGGUAGCGGAGAAAUUCCAAACGAACUUGGAGAUAGCUGGUUCUCUCCGAAAUAGCUUUAGGGCUAGCCUCGGAAUUGAGAAUGAUGGAGGUAGAGCACUGUUUGGACUAGGGGCCCAUCUCGGGUUACCGAAUUCAGAUAAACUCCGAAUGCCAUUCAUUUAUAUCCGGGAGUCAGACUGCGAGUGAUAAGAUCCGUAGUCGAAAGGGAAACAGCCCAGACCACCAGCUAAGGUCCCAAAAUAUAUGUUAAGUGGAAAAGGAUGUGGGGUUGCACAGACAACUAGGAUGUUGGCUUAGAAGCAGCCACCAUUUAAAGAGUGCGUAAUAGCUCACUAGUCGAGUGACCCUGCGCCGAAAAUGUACCGGGGCUAAACAUAUUACCGAAGCUGUGGACUACACCAUUAGGUGUAGUGGUAGGAGAGCGUUCUAAGGGCGUUGAAGGUCGAUCGUGAGGACGGCUGGAGCGCUUAGAAGUGAGAAUGCCGGUAUGAGUAGCGAAAGACAGGUGAGAAUCCUGUCCACCGUAUGACUAAGGUUUCCUGGGGAAGGCUCGUCCGCCCAGGGUUAGUCGGGACCUAAGCCGAGGCCGAUAGGCGUAGGCGAUGGACAACAGGUUGAUAUUCCUGUACCAGUUGUUUUUGUUUGAGCAAUGGAGGGACGCAGUAGGCUAAGGAAUGCAUGCGAUUGGAAGUGCAUGUCCAAGCAAUGAGUCUUGAGUAGAGUUAAAUGCUUUACUCUUUAAGGACAAGUUGUGACGGGGAGCGAAAUAAUAGUAGCGAAGUUCCUGAUGUCACACUGCCAAGAAAAGCUUCUAGUGAGAAAACAACUGCCCGUACCGUAAACCGACACAGGUAGUCGAGGAGAGUAUCCUAAGGUGAGCGAGCGAACUCUCGUUAAGGAACUCGGCAAAAUGACCCCGUAAC
rnacentral:rRNA from 1 species